UGUCAUUUCGGAAAAUAAGGUUAAACGUCGCAAUUGCUCAACAGAGCUUGCAUAUUGAAAUAACAGCACCUCCUCAAUGCUGAGGCAUUAUAGGGCCAAGCAUGAGAGUGAAAUCCAUGAUACACCCAUGAUGAACUCAGCUUCCAGGAAGCAGAUGCUUGAUGAGGCUGUGCUUAAUUUCAUUGUAAAGGACUGCCAGCCCCUCGCUGUUGUGGAGAAUGAAGGGUUCAGGGAGCUGGUUCAGCUCCUUGAGCCCUCAUAUGUUUUGCCAAC